AGCCCAAGACGCCUUGCUCAGCCACACCCUCAAGGGAAUUCAGCAGUAAUAAACAUUAAGCCAUAAGUGAAAACUUGACUUAAUUAGGGCUAAGAGGGUCGGUAAAAUUCGUGCCAGCCACCGCGGUUAUACGAAAGACCCUAGUUUAUAGGCACGGCGUAAAGGGUGGUUAUGGGAUAAAUAAUAUAAAGCCAAAGACCCCCAGAGCCGUCAUACGCCCACGGGGGCACGAAGCCCAAGUACGAAAGUAGCUUUACCUAAUAGUACCCGACCCCACGAAAGCUGGGAAACAAACUGGGAUUAGAUACCCCACUAUGCCCAGCCCUAAACCUAGAUGAAAGUUUACAAAACCAUCCGCCAGGGUACUACGAGCACAGCUUAAAACCCAAAGGACUUGGCGGUGCCUCAGAUCCACCUAGAGGAGCCUGUUCUAGAACCGAUAACCCCCGUUAAACCUCACCACCUCUUGUUUUCCCCGCCUAUAUACCACCGUCGUCAGCUUACCCUGUGAAGGCCCAACAGUAAGCAAAAUGGGCUCAGCCCAAAACGUCAGGUCGAGGUGUAGCGCACGAGAUGGGAAGAAAUGGGCUACAUUUUCUACCACAGAACACCACGAAUAGCGCCCUGAAACAUGGCGCCUGAAGGAGGAUUUAGUAGUAAAAAGCAAAUAGAGUGUCCUUUUGAAUUAGGCUCUGAGGCGCGCACACACCGCCCGUCACUCUCCCC
rnacentral:rRNA from 1 species